ACCUUUUGAGAAUCUAAUGCCUAAUGAUCUGUCACAGUCUCCCAUCAUCUCCAGAUGGAACUGUGCAGUUGCAGGAAAACAAGCUCAGGGCUCCUGCUGAUUCUACAUUAUGAGUUCCCGGAGCCUUCACUGUCUUCAUGAUUAGAUCCCUCCAUACUCUCCAUCACUAAUGCCUUGGCUGGAGAUUACCAUUCAGAGACCAUGUACUGAGCAGAUAAAUGCCAAUCAUCACAGCAUUGUCUCAGGCCUAAAUGAAUAAAGGCAUGACACUGAGAUUGAAGGCUAGUUCUACUUCAGAACCACAGAGACAUGAGCACCAGCAAGUUUGAGGUUGGAUAAGGAUCUUCAGAACUCCUCAGCUUCAGAUGGUCAAGCACUGCUUCCUCCCUUCUUCAACGGCAUCUCUAGCAUGAAGAGGCACAACAGAGUCCAUGCCUUCACCUCCUCUGGCCAACUCUAAUCAUGAAUCUCCUGUGAAUCAGCUGGGAAACAUGCAGAAUAUGAGAUUGGGGCCCUCAUUCAUACUAACUGGAAUUUUCCUUGGCAAUGGUAGAACAGAAGCUUCUCCAUUCUUUACAGAUGAAUUUGCUUUAAGUAAGAUCUUCCCAGAGUACAAAAGAAAUUUAUUCGGAAAAUUUCAAACUAAUAUGGCCUUCUCACUGGAACUGGAUCCACCAUCCCUUUUGCUCAGUGUCGUCUUGUUUAUGUUUUAGAUCCUUUGCAAGGUGAGCUACACCUCUGAGAGGAGCUCCUGGAAAUUACCAGAUACUUAAUGUUGCCAGCUGUUACAGAUGGAGGUGAUGCACCUUGAUGAUGCAUAAGUACUGAGCCUGAAUCCUACAAAUGGGAAAAGGUGCUCAUAUCAGACUUAUGCAUUAGAUAUCAAACUACAAAAUACAAGUGCAGUUGAUACCUGUUUAGAUGAUGUAGAGCAAGGUAACAGAGUAUGUAUUAAAAGCAAAAAUUCCCAUGAAGCUGAACCGUUACUCUCUGCCAAAACCUCCCACUCUCAAGUUUUAAGAGCCAAUAAACCUUGUAUCUGUACGUUCA
rnacentral:lncRNA from 1 species